UGUAUUAAAAUUUUUAAUGCAACAAUGAUUAUGUCAUCUAAAGUUCUAGAUAUAAUAAUGAUAAUGACGUUUCAUAUCUAUGUGUCUUGACCAAAUCACGUGCCAGCAGUCGCGGUAAUACGUGGAAGACUAGUGUUAUUCAUCUUUAACAGGUUUAAAGGGUACCUAGACAGUUAAUCAAGCUUGGAAAGAGGACUGAUUAGACUAGAGUUUUAUAGGAAAAGGGGAGUACAGAUGAGUGUAGUGAUAAUAUACUAUGAUACCAUCUUGAAACUGACAACGGCGAAGGCAACCUUUUAUGUAAAAACUGACGUUGAGGGACGAAGGCUUAGGGCACGAAUAGGAUUAGAUACCCUAGUAGUCUAAGCAGAAAAUUAUGAAUGUCAUAUGUAAGAAAAUUUUUACGUAUAAAUGAAAGUGUAAGCAUUCCACCUUAAGAGUAGUGUGGCAACACAGAAACUGAAAUCAUUAGACCGUUUCUGAAACCAGUAGUGAAGUAUGUUGUUUAAUUAGAUAAUCCGCAAAAAAUCUUACCACAAUUUGAAUGUAAAAAUAAAUUUAUUUUUACACAAGCGUUGCACGGCUGUCUUAAGUUAAUGUCGUGAGACUUUGGUUGGUUCCAAGAAAUUAACGUAAACCCUUACUUUAUUUAAUAAAGUAGAUCACCCACACAAUGGAA
rnacentral:rRNA from 1 species